rnacentral:rRNA from 11 species
UUGACCUCGAAUCAGGUAGGACUACCCGCUGAACUU